GAUGAAGAACGCAGCGAAAUGCGAUAAGUAGUGUGAAUUGCAGAAUUCAGUGAAUCAUCGAAUCUUUGAACGCACAUUGCGCCCUUUGGUAUUCCAAAGGGCAUGCCUGUUCGAGCGUCAUUUGUACCCUCAAGCUUUGCUUGGUGUUGGGCGUCUUGUCUCUAGCUUUGCUGGAGACUCGCCUUAAAGUAAUUGGCAGCCGGCCUACUGGUUUCGGAGCGCAGCACAAGUCGCACUCUCUAUCAGCAAAGGUCUAGCAUCCAUUAAGCCUUUUUUUCAACUUUUGACCUCGGAUCAGGUAGGAAUACCCGCUGAACUUAAGCAUAUCAAUAAGCGGAGGA
rnacentral:misc_RNA from 1 species